CUUAAUCCAACACAUUUUCUUGAUAUGGUUCCCUUGAUAGAUGGCUUGACAGGAGCUUAAACUACUAUUGCCUCAAUACUUGAUCGAGUACUGCCUCAAAUUACUAUGUUGCCUAAAAGCAUGGCCUCAAUCAGAUAUAGUAGUUCCUUUAAACACUACAUUCCCCAGCAAGUCCAACCAUUUCAGCUUGCCCCAGCAAUGAUCAGAUUCUCUUACGCAAUAUCCUAACAACUCGUCUUCAUGAAUGGACCCAUAAUAGAGAACAGAGACAACUUACAAGAUUAUGGUAUUUCCCAAGGAUCAAUCCUUCUGAUGUACUCUGCAACAUAUUUUCCAAACUUGAAUGAAGGAUUAGUCCCAUGUCAUGUGUCAAGUUGGUAAUAGAUUUGGUGGUCUGCAACCCAGUUGCCAUUUCCAAAGUGACUAAAACCCGGAACACGACCAGUUAGCAAAUGAGAUUUUUGUCAGUGAGUAUAUUUAAGUUGAAUCAUUUGAUAUCAUUUGUAUCAUAAAUGUAUCGUCGACUGUCAAUCUCUCCAUCUUUCAUUGUCCUUAGCUGGGAAGGUGAUGUCAUUGCCGAUGGAAGUUAAGCCAACAAAUAAGACGAAGUAGUUGAUGGCUACAAGCCAUCAAUGAUUUAGUAGAGUGCAAAUGUAGAUACAAUAUAUUUUAGUACAUUUAAACAUGCAUCUUAGCCAAAUUGCAUGAUAUUAUAUGGAUGAUUGCUCAUUAAAUAGUUCAUAAAAUGUUCCUAAUCCCAUAAUGUUGGGCAUAACAGUUGAGACAAUUAGCUAGACGCCAAGGUUCUCAUACAAAUGUGGAGUCAUUAACAAGAUUUAAACAUUGUUUGAUUAGAAAUUUGAAAUUUUUGACUCCUUGCCGUAACGUCAUUUCUUAAGAAAUUAAUCAAAAUUUAAGCUACUCUUUAUUAUACAUUAACUUAAAUUACACAUAUAAUAUUCUUUAGGUAUCAACUGUGGCACUUAGGAUGAGACCAAUAGGUUGCCAGGUCCGCCUUCCAUCCCUUUUGAUAUGUUGUUGUCAAUUGAAACGGUAAAGAUAUGAUGAAAUUAGCAUAGAUUUUCAUAACCCCACAUCAAUAUAUUGAGGUUACUAUUAGGGUUGUUGGGCUAUUGAUAGUUGAAAAGGGGGAGGUUGGUAUGUGUUUGAUGUAUUAUAUCAAAUACGAUUCACGUGUACUCUACGUAAGAGAAGUAUUUCUUAUUAACUAUAUUUGGUGGGCUCUAGCCUCUAUGUUCUGGUUUAUAUUUGUUUAAACUAGCGCGCAACGACACUGGAGAGUAACUGUCAUUGUCUAUUAUUUCAUAUAUUAGAAAGAGACAAACCUCCCUAGUUUAAGCUAUAUUCGGCUUAUUUUAGUGAAGGUUUCAGACUAGAGGGAACACGUUCAACAGCUAGGUAUGAUCAUUUUCUUGGUUAUAACGAAGAAAAGAUUAAACAGUACUUUACAAGUAAAUAAUCUGAAAAGGCCAAGUAGAUUUAAGGUGACAAUUAGUUGAUAUUUAAAGCUGAUCAGGCAGACCUCAUUCGAGGGUAGUGGACUGCUUUCUGCAUGGAAAUGGAAAGUCACAAAGGGACAUACGUGUCUCUGGAAUCAUAUGAAGUCUCUGAGUUUUAGAUGUAUUGGGUAGAAACCCAACAGAGCAAGCAAAUCAGUUGUUUAGCUGAAACUAUAAGAAACGCUUAUUUCAAAUAUUGAAAAGAAAACUAUUUAGGUGACAUCACAAAACCCUUGUUAUUUAAUUGAAUUAAACCUGCUUCUUUUGAUGUGGGAAGGUGGUCCACCAGACAAGGAACCUUAGUUGAAGAAGCAAUCUUCUUCCCACACCCCUCUCUCUCUCUCUCUCUCUCUCUCUCUCUCUCUCUCUCUUCAAAGGAAAGUCUCCCAGAAGCUUUCAUGGGGAAGGCCCUGAUGAUAUGGGUUUUAAUUUGUUUUUCUAUGAACCUAGAGUGUCGUUGUUGUUACUUGUUACUUUGACCCAGUGUGGCCAUUGAUGUGAUGCUUUAAAUAGGAGUUUAGGUUUGAAAAGAUACUAGCUUAUGAAUUAAGAUAAUGGCCUUUCUUUGGUAAACACGAAUCCUGGAUUUCAUGUUUGAAUGAAAAAAAAAAGGACAUGUACUAACUGCCUUUUGCAAAUGUAUUUGCGUAGGUACAUACUGUACAUAAUAGUAUUUAAUAUUUAUAUACUCAUUCUUAAAUGUGAUUGAGGAUCUCAGUGGAUGGCACUAUCUCCAUAGCUUAAGUUGAGGAAUGGGUUCGCGCUUAGUAAGCAAAGAUAGGCCACAGUUGAUUUAUUAUUGGCCACCCUUUGGUGGUUAUCCCAUGAAAAAGGGGAAGGAAAAAUAAAAAGAUUUUGCAAGAUGAUUUUGUGCUGUACUGUAUAGGGAAAUUGCCCAAUCAUAUACUGUUGAUUUAUAGGCCAUAUAUGGGGUGGGGGGUGUUUAUGGGUGUAUUUUCAAUUGCUAACUUUCUGGAAAAAUGCUUACUUUUGCCAUAAGAAAUUUAACCACUGCUUUAGUUCUAUCUUUCGAAGUGUGUAAUAAAGACAUUUCCAUUAGAAAUUAAACUUUGAUUUUUUUGCCCUUUUUUUUAAAUUGAUGUUUUAUAUCAAUUUGUUUUCUCAACAGAUUUAAAGGAAUUUUACAUUUUCUUCUUCCCUUUUUGGCAAAAUGAAUGACAUGUAUGGCCUGUAUCUGUUUUGGCAUGUAUGGCAUCAUUAAAUAAAGUGAUAAACUCGUGUAUCAAACUUAGUUCUUCAGGAAUAAUAUCUCUGUUGUUGGGCCAGUGUGAAAAAGCUGGAAGAAUGUCAUUGACGCAUCAGAGUUAUGAUAUAGGACAAGGAGAUGAAGACAGGCAUCAACAAAUGCCAUUGACGCAUUCUCAAGGCAAAAGCUGGAAGAAUGUCUUUGGGUUUCAAAGGUUGUGUAGGAAAUUCAGAGCGUUUGCUGCACCAACUUCUCCUCUAACCAGCUACCUCAAUGGUCAAAUGGGGGUCACAUCUCUUCAUGUCUCUAUCUUACCCCAAGUUUUGAUUGCUCAUUGAAAACCAAAACAUUUUGACAGUAAUUAUUAGUUUUGAAAGGGAGUAAUCCUCAGAACUUCAAUUUCGGUUCAAACAAUGGAUCUUGGCACACCUUGCGCCUAUUGGAAGGUAUAUGUAUAUCCCUUAUUAUCGUAAUACAAUUAAGUUUUCUUCCUCAGA